ACUGCACAUCUGCAGUCAAGAAAAUUAUGUUGCCACUCAGUUUAGAAAGUUGAAGUUUCAGUUUGCCUUUCCAUCUUUACCUUUGCCUUAAAACCGUGAAAUCCUAAGCCUUUACCUUUACCGUUUUCAUUUGCCGCUCAAAAACGCCGUUUAAAAAACUUUGCCGUUAAAAUACAAAACUAACAUUACCACACUGCCGUUUGUAGACUUUUUUUCUUGCGAUAUUAUCCUAACAAAUUUGCAUAUGUACAUGCGGAUGUGGACGAUUAUAUUGCAGGUGGUACCAAUGUUUACCGGAUGGAACAUAUCAUAAUCUUUCGUCCAGAUUGUUGUUCCGUAAUUCAACAAGCUCUGCGGGAGCUCUUAUUAUAAGGGGCUGCAUAAUUCCAGCGGAUAUAAGCUGUGCGUUAUGUGCUGUUAUUAGGAAUUAGGAUAGUGCUAUGCAGGGGUUUUUGGAGAGUGCUGCCCGAUUUUAAUUACACAUUUCGACCUGGUUGUUGAGGAAUUAAGCACAGUGUUGUAAUUCACAGUUGAUCUUUUUAAAGCGACGAUGACCUUUUUCACAAAGUAUUGCUUCCUUCUUAUUGGAACUGUCAGUCUAACAUAUGCUUCGUUAACGGAGUUUAAUAACACCACAAUUAUUGUUAACCUAAUGUCCAAUGGGAGGAUAAUUGAGUUAAACAAACUGCCGGUUGUCAACCUGCCCGGUGGACCAGCAAUCGACGCGGAAACGUUUUUCGCUAGAGAGUGCUGCAGCUGCAGGGCACCAGAACCAAUUCCACAAUCCGAGCAGCCAGCGGCUAAGCUCCCGACGUACACUGAAAUGACCUUUUACUCCGUGGCCUUUGGGAUCGUUUUUGCGUUGAGCAUGUGGUGGGUCUGGAAGCGAUUUGUUCGGAAUGACUUACUAGUGUCUGGGGAGAUCACCUGGUAGACUGAAAGCCAUUUCCGAGUGACGGUGGCGUACAAGAGAAUGCACUGAAUUAGAAUCGGCCACCCGCCGGUUUUCCCGCACUUCCUUUCCACCUUGAGUCCUUGACGCGUUAGGCUAUACCACAAUUAUAUCGGAAUUCCGUCGACAUCGAGUAUGCUGACUAUCCUUCCCCGAGUUUCCGAUCAAGACCCUUCAUAAUUAUAUAAAUGCAUUUGUAUUUGCCUGACCGCCCAACUCAUCCGAUCAACCCAACCGUGCAUACACCUGCGCUUAUAUGCAACCACCCACAGCCCCGGGCUACGUAAACUCGCAGGAGUAUACAGAGUACGCCGGGUAAACUACCCUACACACUGGAUGCUUCAUUAGUGCAUUCUUCACAUUUCAAUAUUAUAUAGUUAUAUGAAUACUGAUUAUCUGUGCCAGGACUUCGGCCCCUGUCCUUUGAGGCGAAGGAUCUCGGCUUCUACUUCACCAAUUUUGUUGCUUUAAAGUACAUCAAAAUUCUCUAGGUAUAGCGGUGGAUCCAAGAAUGUUGACUUUUUGUCAAAAUCAUUUGUCUGAGUCCAGUGGUCAAUCAUAAGCUUGUUACCAUGGACGCGAUAAGAAAUACACACUGUUCUAACACAACUUGACCCAGAACAGUAGAAAUAUCUGAGCUGCUAC